rnacentral:rRNA from 1 species
GACGAACGCUGGCGGCGUGCCUAAUACAUGCAAGUCGAGCGAUGAUUAAAGAUAGCUUGCUAUUUUUAUGAAGAGCGGCGAACGGGUGAGUAACGCGUGGGAAAUCUGCCGAGUAGCGGGGGACAACGUUUGGAAACGAACGCUAAUACCGCAUAACAAUGAGAAUCGCAUGAUUCUUAUUUGAAAGAAGCAAUUGCUUCACUACUUGAUGAUCCCGCGUUGUAUUAGCUAGUUGGUAGUGUAAAGGACUACCAAGGCGAUGAUACAUAGCCGCCCUGAGAGGGUGAUCGGCCACACUGGGACUGAAACACGGCCCAGACUCCUACGGGAGGCAGCAGUAGGGAAUCUUCGGCAAUGGGGGCAACCCUGACCGAGCAACGCCGCGUGAGUGAAGAAGGUUUUCGGAUCGUAAAACUCUGUUGUUAGAGAAGAACGUUAAGUAGAGUGGAAAAUUACUUAAGUGACGGUAUCUAACCAGAAAGGGACGGCUAACUACGUGCCAGCCGCCGCCGUAA